GCGAGGUUAUUCUAAUAUUCAAUAUUUUUCUUCUAUGUAAAAAAAAAAAAAAAAAAAAAUUUAAAAAGAUGGAGGUUGGGGUUGAAGAGGGGAGACCUACGGUGGUAAGAGCCCCCCGUUGCUCUGAUUAAGUCAACGGGGUUUCCCUUAGAAGUGAACCUUCUCUCUGAGGGUCCAGAACUCUGCCAGCUUCUUUUUUCAGCGGCGGAAGGUCUGUUUUUUCAGCGGCGGAAGGUCUGUAAGCAACGUCCCUUGUCAAACAAGGCGGAAUGAAAAGACCAUUGCGCUUGCUUCAGGGCGGGCUUCUUAUCAAACCCAAGCGCGCUUUUCAAAACCAAGCGCGCGAACACCUGUGUCAGGUGCCGUCCAGGGUGGACGAGCGAUCAGGCCAUAAAUGCCACGACUGCGCUAUAGGUCUGGCCCGCCCUUCUUAUAACCCCUUCCAACCAUCCUUAAUGCCCCCACAUGGGUCACAAGUUCACGUGACUGAACUCAGCAAUUACAAUUGCACGGGUCAACUAUAUAAAAGGAUACGUUUCUGAUUACCUGGUCGAUGUGGGACUAACAAAACAAGUCCGCACUUCACAUAUUAACGUGAAUCUGCUCUCUCUCUAAUCUGCGGACUGCCAUCAUUCCCGAGGCUAUCACUCUGGAACAUGUUGCAAAGGUAAUGCUCUUGUUCACUAUUUUGUCUUUUGUUUGUUCAUGCAUUGUUUCAGUGUAUUUUAUCUUUUUUGUAUUUGUUAUGCUGGAUAUAAUUUAACUUCCGUCAAUCUUCACAUUAAGAAGUAGCUUUGAACCAUCAAAGUAAUAAAUUCAAUAAAAUGUAGACAUUAUUUUAAGAUUUUUCAAGGGUCUGUUGGUAUUAUCUUGCAGGCAAUAAUAUGCUAGGAAAUGUGGGAUUGAAAUGUAUAGUCAAUAACCUUCAUGCAAGAGUAUAUCUAUUGUAGUUACUGUUCUCAGAAAUUUGAAGUGUUUACCCUAUUGGUACCAAGUUGUUUCGGUUAUUAGUUAUACUGACAUCCGAUUAAUGUCUAGGCAUUUGAAAAUUAAAAAAAGGCACCUAGAUUUGCUAGGCACCAGCCUAACCCGCCCAGACCCGCCUAGAUUAUGACUUACUUAGACAAAAAAUAGAUAACUUUCAUUUUGCAUUUUAUUUUUCUCAGUAAAUUGUAAGAGACUUGUUGAAUACUUAAAUGAACUCACAUUAUAUGCUUAUUCUCCAGUUUUUUCAUUAUGUUGCCAUACUUCAUAAUACAUAUGUUAUUCUAUUUUGGAGUUUAUGAUGAAAUUAUAUAUAUUUUAAGUAUAAAUUAUAAACAAACACUUAUUUACAUGAAAUAUAAUGGAUUUACUUAAAUUCGCCUAGUCUGCCUUGGCGCCCGCCUAAGCUCCGCCUAGGUGCUAGAUCCCAACCUGCCUAUAUAGCAUGUAACUUUGAAUUUGCAGAAUUUCUGAGAGGGGUUGAGAAGUAGUCUAAUCUAGGUGAAUUAUCUUUAGGCGGAUUUUUUUUACCUUGGGUAGAACAGGCUAUGCCUGCGUAUGUCUUGCCCUCCCUAAGCCCUGCCUUAGCGGAAGCCUAAUGCUCUGGGAUGUUUGUCAAGAUAGUUAAAAUGGUUGUCAAUUUAGUAGAGCUAUCUGAUUUUUUGCUGUAUUAUGAUGCAGAUACACGAGGCAGAAGGGUUUUGGACUUGUGACAGCUCGUUUGAAUGUGCUUUUAAAAUAAUUGAAAGCAUUUUCGGUAAAAAUAUUUUUACAACCAAUCUUUAGUAAAAAUGCAAGUAAAUUUAAAAAAAAACACUUAAUGUGUUUCCUAGAAGAAGCACAUAACUAGUGAUUCUUGCAUAAAACACUUUAAAUGCUUUUGGAACUCAAAAACAUUUUUUCUAAAAGUAUUUUUUAGUUAUUUUAAAGCACAUCAAAACGAGUCAUGAAUCUCUCACAAAAAGUGACAAUUUUCAUUGCAUUUAUAUUCUCAUUUGAAAUCCUUUGCUAUCUCUGCUAUUAGUUUGUUGAUGGGCAGCUUUCAUUUGCUUCUACUUUAAGCAAUGUGGUAUGCUAUCACAGCGUUGAUUCGUACGUAGUUUUAUGUGCUGACUUACAAUGUUUUUUAUAUUGUGUAAUCUAUACUAAUAUAAAAUGUCAAAAUAUAGCGGCUGGUUUUACAUCAUAUAUCUCUAAAGCCUUUGUAGUUAAAAUAAAAUUAACAAUACAUGGAGUAAUCUCAAACUUUGUGUGGUUGUGUGUGUGUUUGCAUCAUGGUCUAAAAUAUCCAUAAUAUCCCGAUAUUUCCAUCGAAAUUUCCGUAUUUUUGGACUAUCGAUAUUUCCGAUAUCAUCGAUAUUUUAGACCUUGCUAAGUCACUCAUGUAUCUUACCAUGCAAUGUAUAAAGUGUAAAAUAUUGUACUAAUUCAUUAUAUAUAAAUGAUUAUGGUGUGUUUAAACUUCUUUCAUUAAUUACUAUAUAUUUUCUACACUCACAAUGUUUGCCAGCUCGCUAUAUAAUCAACUUAAAUAAGUUAUAUCUAUCAUGCAAUGCAUUUCCUUCCAAUUUUUUGUGAUAAACUAAUAGAUAAUUGACUAAAUAAGCAUUUUGCAAAGUUUCAAUAAAAAAUUUCAAGUUUUGCUUACAAUUUAUGUGGUUUUUGUUCAAUUUUUAUCGAUAUCGAUAAUAUUCCCAUCGAAAUUUCCGUGUUUUUAGACUACCGAUAUUUCCGAUAUCAUCGAUAUUUUAUAUAUUGGUUUGCGCACUUGUAUUUUAAAGGAUCUCUAACUUGGUUUGCAAACUAGUUGUGACAACUGAAACCCUGUGAACCUACGGAAUGGGCUUUAAUCAUGUCUUUUUUCCUACUAUAUUUUUUGAGGGUUUGGUCACAUGCUCUUAAUUAUUUAAUAUUUUCAAGUCUCCAUAUUUUAUUUAAGAAGUCUAUGUUGGUUUUGAAUAGUAGGCUGAUAAAACUGAAACAGAGUUAUUACUUUUAGAGAACUUUAACGAAAAAUUCUUCGCAUUUGGAUUCGUGUGUUUAAAAGAUAUGAUAGAGUUGUAUGUGUACUUUUCUGACAACAAAAACCUUUGAUUCUUCUUGUCUGCUUGCUAUUAUGCACAAGGUUGUUUAGUUUUGACCUGGCGUCCUAACUGGAAUAUGUUUGCAAGUUUAUUUGAUUUCUUUAAUGGACAAACUAGAGUGCUUAUGUUACCUUUAUUUAACUGAUUUAAGUAUAAUAUAUGGAAAUGGUACGUCUGAAAAGAAACAUGUUUGAUUUGGCAGUUAACAUGUUUGAUAACAUAUGUUAGUUAUAUAAACAAUUGCCGUUCUGAUUAGUUAAAUAAACAAUUUACAUAUUCCCUCUGUCUUAUGGUUUGGCAUGGUAAAAUUGGUUGCAAAUAUUGUAGUUACUUCUGCCAAUAUCUGUCAUGGUUUUGCUUUCUGCAUGUUUAGAAAGCAUUACUAUAAUUAUCUUUUGUUAAACAUGCGUUGUUUUCUAUGUUAUUUGGUUAGUGGCAAGGACCUCCAUUAAGAAAGAAAAGAAACUGAAUAGUCUUACUGAUUUUAUAACUAUACUCUGAAUUUAACUUUGUGUACAAUAAUUCUUUGACCUGCUUGUAUACUUCCUUUGCAAAGCAACUCCCUGGGAUUAGUUCGAGAUAUUUUUAUGACGUGAUUGUAACAUCCCACAUCGUCCAAGGGAAUUGAUCCUCUAUGCCUUAUAUAUACAUGCUCACCUCUAAUUAGCACGAGGUUUUUUGGGAGCUCACUGAUUUCAUAUUCAAUCGGAACUCCGAGGUUAAGCGAGUUCGCACGAGAGCAAUCCCAAGAUGGGUGACUCAUUGGGAAGUUCUCAUGUGAGUUCCCAGAAACAAUACCGUGAGGGCAUGCUCGGGGCCCAAAACGAACAAUAUCGUGCUAUGGCGGAGUCGAGCUCAGAAUAUGGUGGAGCGGGGUCAGGAUGCGACAGUGAUCACUCUGUUGCUUUUAUUGCAUCAAUAGCAUCUAUUGGAUGUUGGAGUAUCAUGGCAUGUGAACCAGCUAUCAUGAAAAGGCAUUUUCCCCUCUCAAAAUCUUUUCUGACUUGAGUUCACCAUCAUUGCGUUUGUUCUCUGUGUGUUUUGAGCACCUCUUUGUGCUUGUUUUUCUUUUGAUUUUGUUUGUGUUGAUUGGUAGCGUCCUUAAAAAUAUGCUAACAUAGUAACAUAUCUGUUUUUAUUUUCAAACAGAGCGUUGCUUAUGACAGAUCGAGUGCUCCUAAGGACUGCAGGAUCUCUGGGUGGCUGCGAGGACGGGAUGAUCCAGAAGUCCAUAUAGAAAUUCGCCUGGCUGAAUUUACUUAUGACCUUGAGAAAAGCAAUGCACAGACAUUCAAUGUCUUGGACUCGGCAGUGUCUGGCCUUGUCGACACAGUGAGGUUGGACUUCACAUCCAACCAUGGAAGCCCUUCUCAUACUUGCAUAUAUAGAUUCAGAGUGCACGGACAUGAACCGAACGCCGUUUCUACGAUGGCCAUGCAGCAGUAGCGUCAGUGCCAUUCCAUACCAUACUUGUGCAGAAGCAUUCUCGGGCCACGUCUGUAUUAAGUAUGAAUUCAUUUUUUUCUCCUUUUAAUUUGUAACUUGGUAGGUCGAGAUCUUGUGGUAUGUUUCUAGAGUUCUCGAUAUCGUGUAUCGUCUCUUUGACAUUUUUGUGUUAUCUAGUAAUUGUGUAUCCAUGUAUUGCUAGUUGCAGUGACGAAUCCAGGAAAUAAUAUUAGGGGUUAGUAAGAAUAGUGCGUGCAACGCGAAAUUUUUUUUAUACUAGAAAUAGCAUGCAUAUUGUCAUUUCAUCGAGUCUUGGUAAGCCUGAAGUCAUUUGAAAAUGCAUACUACAGACAUGUUAAUGUAAGCAAGGGGCAGCACCCAAGGUAUUCAUGGACAUUUAUCAGGUUUUGGUAGGCCUGAAGUCGGUUGGAGGGCAAGUAUGAAGCCAACUCUAAUCUUCAAAAAGGCAACACUCAAGGUAUCCAUGGACAUUCACCGAAGUUCGGAGGAUCAACACUUAGGUGUCUAUGGACGUUCAUCGAAGUUCAGAGGGUCAGCUGACCCCCUUGCCCCUUAAUGGAUCCGCCAGUGGCUAGUUGUAUGUCAUUCUCUCUGUGUUUCCCUCUCUAUGCGCGCCCAGUAAUGAAAUCAGGCAAGGUUACAGGUAAAGAAACAGAGAAUUUUCUAAAUUUCGAAGUAUUAUUAUGGUUUGCCAUUGAUGUGAAAGAGUACUUGACCUUGGACCUCACGAAGGCGGUUCCUCCCCCUAUGGAGGAGAUUCUUCACUUUCGGGGCUGGGCGCUCCCUCGAACUGAUAUGUUUUAGUUUUCGUCUUGGUGACAAAAAUUUACUUUAGAAAUUUAAUGGUACUCUUUCUCUUUUGCACGCAAUCGAAAUCCCAUCAAAGUUUUCACGAGAUCAUAUGUAAACACUCUACCCUCUUUCAUUAUCAAAACCCUAAAUAAAAUAAAAAAAUCCAUUGAUUUCUUUCAUUCAUUUGCUAAAAUGUUUCACUUAUUUCAAGCUCUUUUAUGUAAAACUUGGGGAAAUGGAUACGCAAACCAAAUACAUGAGCAUUUAAAAGAGGAUAUAUAGAGUAACUUUUGAACUGUUCAUCAUAAGAUGAAUUUUGUGAUUUUGUAAAUAAUGAACUGACUAAUUUAAGUUCCUCGUGUUUUGUUGCUCCAAUAUUUUUAUUAAAGGAUGCUACAAUUCACAACCUCGAAUUCGAAGGAUUUACAUAAAUCUUUUUUUCUUGUAGACAUUGGGAAACUAUAAGCAGACGUGUACACACAGACAGGAUAAAAGCAUAUCCAACAGCCUAGUUAAAUGAGGUUUUUUGGCUACUUUAACAAAAACAAAAAAAUGCAAAAAAACAAUAAGCUUCAACAGGCUAGCUAAAUGACUAGCUUAUCUUAUUCGUCGAGAUAUGCUUCUCCUGCUGGGCAUUUAAAAGUAAGAGAUUAUUUGGUUGCUAAUUUGUGAUUUCACUUAAUACACCUAGCUCAGAGAAAAAUCCAAGUUAUUACAAAGGUCACUAUAUUUAGAUAUAUUCGUUGAUAUGCGUUCUCAUCUAUGUAUUUUUUCUCCUUUACGGGCUGUCAAAGUCCCAUCGAAGUUUUAAUGAGACCACGUAUAAACACUCUACCCUCUUUCAUUUUGAAACCCUAGAUAAAUAAAUAAAUUCAUUGAAUUACAAUACAACGUUCGACGACCAAUUUCUAGUUCUUCAAUAGUAUUUAGUUUUUAUUUUUUCUUUUUAAGUUUUUAAAUUUUUUUUAACUUUAAAUGAGGGUGGAAUUGGACUUCAAGGAGUUAAAAAUUAAUAAUAAUCUCCGUAUGUUUUUGUUUUAUUUCAUUGACUUGCUAAAAAGUUUCAUUUAUCUCAAGGCCUUCGAUAUAAAACUUGGAGGAAAUGAAUACCCAAACUAAAUACACACGACUGAAAAAAUUGGUAUGAAAUAUAAAAGAACUCACGAUCGCUUAAGAACUUUUUAGCGUGUAAAUAAAAUGACAAUGAAGCCUACUAAUAUAUGAAGCUUAUAGGAUGUAGAAAAGAAAAAGAAAAAUUAUAAACGUCAAAAUAAAUAGAAUAUAUGAUAAUAAUGGUAAACUAUAAUUGCUGCUUAAAAUAUUUUGGUGGGUGAAAGCAAAUGUGUUUCUACACUAGAAAUGGAAUUGUGAGCCCUUUCAUGUUCAUCUUAAGAUGAAUUUUGUAGCUGAUAAAUUGACUAAUUUGAGUUCACUGCAUUCUGUUAGUCCAAUAUUUCGAUCUAACUCUCAUCUUCUGUCAUCAUCCCUUAGUUUCAAACAUUGCUAAAUCUCUAAACCUCGUGACGUUUUAUUGUAAUUUCUCUUUGUUGAGUGUUUGAAAAAAAAAAAUUUAAAACGGGGGGGACCUACGGUGGUAAGAGCAAAAGAGAUGGAGGUUGGGUUUGGAGAAGGGUUGGCCGGGGGGGGGGGGACCUAUAUGGUGGUAAGAGCCCCCCGUUGCUCUGAUAAAGUCAGCGGGGUUUCUUCUCAGAGUGACCUCCGAGGUACUAAACAUCCCUUUACAAGGCGGAAUGAAGACAGACAGCGGCAGCCGGAAGAAUUUGCUCGUCGGCGGCCAGGAACAUCGCGCUUCAGGGCGGGCUUCUUAUCAACCACGCGCGCGUACACCUGUGUCAGGUAAUUGACUUAGGUGCGCGUAGGUUUUGGUUCGACCCACUCCUUAAUGCCCCCACUUGGGUCACAAGUUUACGUGACUGAACUCGGCAAAUCGAUGUGGGACUAAGAAAACAAGUCCACACUUCACAUAUUAACGUGAAUCUCUCUCCUCUAUCUGCUCUCUCAUCUCUCUCGUUCUCUUUCUCUCUAAUCUCCCUCCUUUCCGAUCCUCUUUUUGAAACCGUUGCUUAAAUAUAUGCUGACUUAUCUGUUUUUGUUUUCAAACAGAGCGUUGCUUAUGACAAAUCGAGUGCUCAUAAGGACUGCAGGAUCUCUGGGUGGCUGCGAAGACGGGAUGAUCCAGAAGUCUAUACAGUGAUUCGCCUGGCUGAAUUUACUUAUGACCUUGAGAAAAGCAAUGCACAGACAUUCAAUGUCUUGGACCCGGCAGUGUCUGGCCUUGUCGACACAGUGAGGUUGGGCUUCACAUCCAACCAUGGAAGCCCUUCUCAUACUUGCAUAUAUCGAUUGAGAGUGCACGGACAUGAACCGAACGUCGUUUCUAUGAUGGCCAUGCAACAGUAGCGUCAGUGCCAUUCCAUACCAUACUCGUGCAGAGGCAUCUCGGGCCACGUCUGUUUUAAGUAUGAAUUCAUUUUUUCUCCUUUUAAUUUGUAACUUGGUAGGUAGAGAUCUUGUGGUAUGUUUCUCGAGUUCUCGAUAUCGUGUUUGUCUCUUUGACAUUUUAGUGUUAUCCGGUAAUUGUGUAUCCACGUAUUGUUAGGUGUAUGUCAUUUUCCCUUUCUUUUCCUCUCUAUGCGCUCAGUAAUGAAAUCAGGCACAGGUUACAGGUAUAGAAACAGAGAAUUUUCCAAAUUUCGAGGAGACAAAAAUUUACUUUAGAAAUUUAAUGGUACUCUUUUUCUUUCACAUAUGGUCAAAAUUCCAUCAAAAUUUUCACGAGAUCACAUGUAAACAUUCUACUCUCUUUCAUUAUCAAAACCCUAAAUAAAUAAAUAAAAUCCAUUGAUUUACGAUACAAGGUUGAUUGACAAUAUCUAAGUCUUCUAAUAAUCUCAGUAUGUUUUUGUUUUCUUUCAUUCAUUUGCAAAAUGUUUCACUUAUCUCAAGCUCUUUUAUGUAAAACUUGGGGAAAUGGAUACCCAAACUAAAUACAUGAGUAUUUAAAAGAGGUUAUUAAAUAAAAGGGAUAUUUUGGAUGCAGCCCCUAAUCCUUAACAUUCUUUGAUUAAAAAUAUUCAAAGUUUGAUCAAGGUCCCUUGACUUUGUACACCUCAUUAUAUCACUAUUAAUAUUUAUAGUUUUAUAGUUUUUACAUUAAUUGUUUGAUAUUUUAUGAGAUUUUAAAAUCCCUCAUUAUAAUACUAUUAGAAAUGGUUACAAUAAAAAAAUUCAAACAUUUUGAUUGAAUAAAUGGAUAAAAACUAUAAAAAUAAUAAAUGGAAAAAUAAUGUAUCCAUAGUGUUAAAAAAAUUGGUACAUUUUACAAACAAAUUGGUACAUUUCUCAUAUAACAAAGUGGUACAUUAAUAAAGAAGAAUGGGUACAUUAGAAAUAAAUUAGGGUACAAAUAAAAUAUUAAAAAUUAUGAAUACAAAUGAAUUUUUAAAAAUAUAGGCUCUAAAAGAAAUUAAUACAUGGGUACAAAAUGAAACUAAAAAGAAAAUACUACAAAUUUUAAAAAAAAAUGUUGCAAAUUAAAAGUGGGUACAAACUAAAAAUAUAAAUACAUGAUACAAAGUUUAGGCAUAAAACAUAAAUAUACCAUAUGUAAUUUUUCUAUCAUUGAUUAAAUGUCACGUGAUAGUAUACACAUGGGUACAAACACAAAUAAAACUUUAAAAAAUAUGGGCACAAAAAGAAACUAAUAUAUGGGUACAAAUUAAAAAUGAAAAGAAAAUUGGCACAAAUUUAAAAAUAUUUGCAAAUUAAAAAUAGGUACAAACUAAAAAUAAAAAUAUAUGAUAAAAAAUUUAGCCAUAAAUAUAAAUAUACUAAUUGUAACAUUUUUAUCAUUAAAGGAAUAUAUUUAAAAAUAAAAAUAUUUUAUUAUUCAAAUAAUUAAUGAUGUUAUUAAUACCCAAGGACAUUGAUCAAAAAUUGAAAAUAAAUAGGAUUUUAAUCAAUGGAGUAACAAAAAGAAAGAUGUGAACCUAAUUUUCCGUAAUGGUAAACUAUAACUGCUGCUUAAAAUAUUAGGAAAACUAAUGAAAAAGGCUUGAAAACUUUGAGUUUUAACGAUAAGGACAAAAUAAAGGGUAAAGUGAAUAGUACCAUGUGUUGACUUUUUAGUGUAAAAAUAUGGUUUUUCGUUAAAGUGAACAGUACCGCAGGCUUUUCGUUAAAACUCCCUAAAAUAUUUUGGUGGGUGAAAUCGAAUGUGUUUCUACACUAGAAAUGGAAUUGUGAGCUCUUUCAUGUUCAUCAUAAGUUGAAUCCUAGAGCAGAUGAAUUGACUAAUUUGAGUUCACUGCAUUUUUGUUAGUCGAAUAUUUGUAUCGAACUCUUUAUCUUUUGUUGUCGUCCCUUAAUUUCCAGUAACCUCGUGAUGUUUUAUUGCAUUUUCUCUUUGUUGGGUGUUUAGUCCUGUUAUCUUUUUUAACUUGUUUUGGCGAGGUUAUUCAUCGCGCGAAUAAACAUCUUAUUAUGAUAAUUUGAGAUUUUUCGUUGUGAAAAAAAAAAAAAAAAGAUGGAGGUAGGGGUCAAAGAGGGGGUACCAACGGGGUAAGAGCCCCCCGUUGCUCUGAUUUAGUCAACGGGGUUUUCCCUCUGCCAGCUUUUUUUUUUUUUUUUAAGCGGUGGAAGGACUGAUAUCUUUUUUAACUUGUUUUGGCGAGGUUAUUCAUCGCGCGAAUAAACAUCUUAUUAUGAUAAUUUGAGAUUUUUCGUUGUGAAAAAAAAAAAAAAAAAAAAAUGGAGGUAGGGGUCAAAGAGGGGGUACCAACGGGGUAAGAGCCCCCCGUUGCUCUGAUUUAGUCAACGGGGUUUUCCCUCUGCCAGCUUUUUUUUUAUUUUUUUAAGCGGUGGAAGGACUGAUCAACGUCCCUUUAACAAGGCGGAAUGAAGACAGUUAUUAGCCGGCCAACCGGCCCAUAACAAACAUCGCGCUUCAGGGCGGGCUUCUUAUCAACCGCGCGCGCCACCACCUGAGACAGAUGUGCCGUCCAAGGUGGACGAUCGACAAACGCCUACAUAUCGAGUAGGGUUGAUUGCCUCGGGUGCAUGAUUGGUUUGACCCGCUCUUCUUAAAACCCCUCCCAACCAUCCUUAAUGCCCCCACAUGGGUCACAAGUUCACGUGACUAAACUCGGCAAUUACAAUCGCACGGGUCAACUAUAUAAACGGAUAAGUUUCUGAUUACCUGGUCGAUGUGGGACUAACAAAACAAGUCCACACUUCACAUAUUAACGUGAAUCUCUCCUCUUAUCUCCUCUCUCUCUAAUCUCCCUCUUUUCUGACCCUCUUUUUGAAUAUCUUUGUUUGUCCAAUCAAAUUUUAUAGUAAUUACUGAAUCGACUUGAGAGUUACUAUAGAAUUUUUCUUCUUUUUAGUUAUUAAAAUAUAAAAAUAAUUUAAAUCACAUAUGAUAAUUUUAUGAUGUGGGAAGAUUGAUUCCGAACAUUACUUUUGAGUCUCAUCAUGUCCAUCAUAUUUGCAACAUACUCAGCAAACAUUUACUAAAUAACCUUAUCUUAAAAUAAUUUAAUAAAUCCUCAUCACACCCAUAUAUCCAUUCAUAAAAGGCACAAGGAAGACCACAUAUUUAUAUGGUAUAUCAGUGCAUCAUUUAACGUGGCAAAUGAUGUAUAUAAUCAACAUUUAAUGAGAUAAGUUCAGUAAUUGGUGUGGCAUAUACACAUAAUUUGUCACAUCAGAUAGUAUGCAAAUAUGGUACCAACAUGUGGCCUCUCUAGCAUUUUCCUAUUUUUCUAAUACAUACGAUAUUAUCUACAUAAAAAAAAUGAAAAAUGAGCUAAGCCUUACAAUAUAAGGGCAAUGGACAUUGCUUUUGGUACCUGUAUGCAUAAUUAUCUUCUUCCCAAAACCAAUACCUAGCAUUUUAUGGUUACACUGUCGACAACCAAAAGCAAGUUGAAUAGUUUUGGUUGGAAAUUUUUGUUCCGUCCAAUUUCAGUCUAAAAAGUUUCAGUUUUACACACAGUAUAAAAAUUUUAAACAUCUUAUUAAUCCCGAUUAUCUGGCAAACAUAUUCUCCGCAUCAUCAUGAUAAAACAUCUAAUUAAUAAUCCGGUUAUUCCAACAAACCUAUUUUCAUAUCAUUGCGAUAGAACAUCUUAUUAAUAAUCCGAUUAUUCCAAUAAACCCAUGUUCAGAUUAUCACGAUUAACAUCUAACUAAGAAUCACGAGUAAAUAUUUAAUUAAUAAUCACAAUAAAACAUCUAAAUAAACCCAUUUUCAAAUAAUCACUUUUUGUUGGUCCAAUAUUUUGAUCCAACUCUUAAUUUUAUUUUGUCAUCUAUUAGUUGCAAACGAUGCUAGAACUCAUGAUGUUUUGUUGCAACUUCUCUUUAUUGGGUGUUUAGUGCCGUUAGCUUUUUUAAUCUUGUUUUGGCAGGAUAUUCUAACGACCAAAACCUUAAAUUUCUAAAUCCAAAGAUGAGCAUCAUUUGGUACUACGAUUUAGUAGUAUUUCUCUUAAGUGAGAGGGCUUAAGUUCGACUUUUGUCAAAUGUCAAUUUAAAGCACAUUAUUGCUAGUUUAUUGUGAGGUUAAACACAUCCUUCUCUUAGCAUAAGCAAUAUUGUUUGUUAAAACGAGAGACAAGAAACAUAAAACGCAAUGAAAUGCCUCGAAGAGGAGCAGGUUUGAAGUCUUCUUCAGAGUGUCAAAAGUUGGACCAGGAUGUUAACCCCUUCAUUUUUCUUCGCACCCAUUUUUAUAUCAUCACGAAUAGACAUCUAAUUAAUCUAUAAUAAUUAAUAAUCUUUUCUUUAAAAAAAAAAAAUGGAGGUCGGGGGUUGAAGAGCGGGACCUAGGGUGGUAAGAGCCCCAUUGCUCUGAUAAGCCAACGGUAUUUCUCAGAGAGAUUCUGAGUAAGCCAAGAAUUAGUCCACAAGGACUGUAAGUAACAGCUUUGUUACAAAGGUCAAGAAGUUCAAACAAGGUGGGAUCAUUUACCACGCGCAAGCGCCGCGUCAGGUAUGAUCCCCCUAAAAGAACAGGAAAACUAAUGAAAAAUGUUUGAAAACUUUAGAUUUUAAAGAAUAAAGAUAAAAUAAAGGGUAAAAUGAAUAGUACCAGGAUUGACUUUUUAGUGUAAAAAUAUGGUUUUUCGUUAAAAUGAAUAAUACUGGGAACUUUUCGUUAAAGUUCCCCUAAAAGAACACGUGCUAACUUUCUCUUUAACCCCUCCAUAGACCAUCCUUAAUGCCCCCACUUGGGUCACAAGUUCACG
rnacentral:lncRNA from 1 species